rnacentral:sRNA from 1 species
GUUACGGAGCUGCUUCCUCUCCCUAGCCUCACCCUGCAGGAAUGCCAGUGAACAUAUUGCUGACAUCUUGGAGCUCAGUACCCUCAUAGUGUAACGGCGUCAGCAGAUCUGCCUGUGCUUGGACUUCCUGUACUACCCAUUCCUGAGGGGCGAUGCUUCUGCAGGGCCUGUGACUUGGUGCACAACUUCAGACACCAUCAUCUUGCAGCAGCACCGCACCCUCACUAGCCAGGGUGUUGAUGACUUCCUCAAGGCCAGGGCCACGUUCAAGGCUUCAGACUUCAUUGAUGCACUUGUGCUGAGCAAGGUGGCUUCUCCGGGAUCUUAAUUCAGGAGGUAGAAUGGAGCUUGAGAUCAAGCGUCUGAUCAAGGUACUUGAACUUGAUCUGGAGGGCUCUGGGGAGCCAUGGAAGGUGCUGGAUAAAGGAGUGACAGUCAGCUAUGUUUUAGAGAUGACUGUAGAAGGCUGUCUGGAAGGAGUGAACAAGAGCCAGGAGACCAGGGAGGGAGCUUGUGGGGCAGGUCUGGAGAUGGCAAGGGAGGGAUCCUACUUGGAUGAAAGGUCUUCAGGGACUGUCUCAGGUUACACACAGGUGUCCUCAGAGCUAGUGUGUUCAGAGUCUUGCCUCCAGGAUGAAAAUGGGAAGGAGUUGUCAGACGAGGACAUAUAAAUGGAGGCUGGCAUAUUCAUGAGUGCUGGUGGUGGUCCCGGUGUGGGACUACUGUGGGAACAGGGGUCUCUCCAUCCAGGCAUAUGACGGAUGGACCCUACAUCACUCCAUUCUGCCCUUCCUUUCCCUCCUCCCAUUCUCCCGAAAGCCUCAGUGUAUGGGCACUGUUCAUCCUCUGGUGCUGAAGCAGCCAAAAGACACAAGUCUGCCUGGCUGCCUCUUAGGAUAUGACAGCAGAGCCAGUGGCCUCUACUAGAUCCUGUACAACCUCACAAAACACCCAGACGUUGGGAGUGCUGCCAGCCUGUGAUGCAAGAGUCCUGAUCCUGAAGACAUUAAAUGACCUGUCAUUGUGCUGUUUUUACCAAAAAGGAUCAUGAGGAUCAGAGAGGAAAAGUCACUUGCCCAAAGUCACACAGCUGAACAGUGGUGGAGUUCAACUUUGACCGUGGGCUGUCUGGCUCCAAGGUGUAUGCUUGCUUCUCUCCCAAGAGACUCCUUUCUUAUCAGCCUCAAAUGAAUGAAUGAAUGGAGGAUGUUAAAGUUCCUAGAAACUUUAAUUGAAUGAAAGUUCCUAGUAGAUCUGUACCUACUAAAAACCACACUUCUGAAGCUACGUGGCCACCAGAAGACACAGCUAGUCUGCCAUGUAAAAAAGGAAAGGUGGCGUGUGCCCUGAAGGUGCAGGGGUGAGAGGCAGGGAAAUAGAGACCCCCACAGCCAGCAGCAGUGGCCCUCAUCACAGCCCUCCAGGAGACAUGAAAGGAGACAACGCCAUUAUUGACGAGAUCACUCCCAAGUGGAUUAGAAAUCUCCAAUACUUAGACCUAUAGCAAGGCCUUGGGAGAAAUGGUGGUGCAGCAGGAGAGCAGGAACCUAACCAUUGCCAUCCUAAGGCCCUCCAUUGUGCGGAGCAACGUGGCACCAGCUUUUCCUGGGUUGGGUUGAUAAUCUAAAUGGAUGUAGCCGACUCAUUAUUGCGGUAUGUGUAGGGAUGAAGAAGUAACUGUAAUGUAGUGGAGGAAUAGUAACAAAAUUCUUAGUGCUGGCUUAGCUUCAUUGAUCCAAAAACAUAAAUGCUACUUUACUAUCAA